rnacentral:tRNA from 1 species
CGGCGGGGUUUUUUGUUUUCUNCGCAACUGGUUUGGGACCAGUGGGUCGGAGGUUCGAAUCCUCUCUCGCCGACCA